ACCCGAUGCAUCGAACAUCGUCGGCGACGCCAAGAAUGCUGCUCAGGACUUGGCGGGGGACGCCAAGAGUAAGAUUGGCAUGGGAGGAAUGGGAGUGCCUGAUGCAGGCAUCGUUGCUAGCAACGCCAAGGGCAUGGCCGCUGAUGCGAAGUCCAAGGUAAGUGGCGGGAUGAGUGAUCCUUCAAGCAUUGCGAGUGACGGAAAGAACUCUGCCAAGGAUUUGGUAGGCGAUGCCAAGAGCAAGUUGAGCAAUGUUGCCAGCUCUGACGUUGUCGGUGACGCUAAGAACGCUGCAAGCGAUGCUGCAAAUCGCGCAACUCAGGGAGUUGCAUCAAACAGUGCACAAGGCGUUGCGGAGAACGUGAAGAACAGCAUUGGAUUACCUAACCCCAUGGAAGCUGGGAAGGCUCUCAUUAGUAAGGUAAGCGGGAAUUAAAUGAUUUGUGCGAAGUUGAUGAAUUAAUCUCGUGCCUAGUGUUUUGCUAGAGUUGAAUCGAGUGGAACCUGUACAUGACGAGCUUGAAUGUGCGAGGAUGUUAAUCAUCGUCGUCACUCAUUGUAAAUGUAUGUAGUUAGAUGUUCAGCAUCGUAAUAAAACUUGUAUCACCUUUAUAAUGUCUGUCUCCGAUGUGAUUGAACAUUGCGUCAUGGUUCAUUUCUCGAAAAUAAUUCGGAGAAAUUUGUAAUGUUUGUAGCUGUUCGAAUUUUCGACGGAGGUGUGUAAAGCAAUUGCUUGAAGUGUGUAGGUUAUCUUGAAUUGUGCGACAGCAAACCAAACAGAAAUAUGUCUGAGUUUUAAACAGGUGUAAGUAAUUGUAUAUUUGUUUUUAGCAAUACAGCUUUUAGAACAACUUAUGAAUCGUUAAAUAUAUGAGGAAGGUCCCUGAAUGAAUGUGAACAAAUUUUUCGACGAGCAUGUUCCUUUAUUUACCGAGUGUGUAUGCCAUUUUGUUUUAUGACUUCGACCCAUUGUAUGUAAUCUCUGAGGAACUCCAAUUUCUACCAGCUAUAUUUCUUUAGUGCUAUUUGACCACAUCGUCUGUCACAAACUCACAACCUCUUCUUCCUUGGCACCAAAAUUCUUAUCCAAGCCUUCUGGCACUUGGAUGUACUUCCGUAUAUCCAUACCUCGUCGAAUAUUUGUGAGAAUCUUGUCCAAACUUGGGAGCCAUAUGCUUUCAAAGUGAGGUUAUUACUCUCUUUUUAUGUUUUAGUUGGUACACAAAAGGUGGUGAAAACUCCAUAAAGGAAAGGAUUCAUUUGAUUCAUGCACACCGAACAAAGGUGUGAUGAUUUUUAUACCAAAGUUGGCCACGUCUGUCCAAUAUGUAAUUUCGCAGGUCCUAACCCGAAGAAUUGACGAGGAGCAGAACCUUUAAUUAACGAGGAGCAGAAUAUCUGUGACCAAGCAUUCCUCCACUUCAAUACUGUGAUUUGGAAUAAUUCGAAACAUGCAUCAUGAUUCUGUGGAUCUGACUGGGGCUUAUUUCAUUUGUGGUCAUGAAAUGAAAGCACUGUGUUAACAUAGUCUUCCCACACUUUCGAAAAGUUUGAUCAUCUUCGUCAAUUUGUAAUGUGUCAGGAUUAAAAUCUUUCAAUCCGCCUCAUUCAGCAAUUCACCAUUGUGCCAGCAGGGUUUUUUCGAGCAGUCCACUUCAAAUUGCUUCACAUGCAAAUCUUUACCUCUUUCCCAAGGAAAACCCUGACACAGCACUUUCCACAAUGUCAUUAAGAACAAUGAGAGAUACAAACCUGCCCCGUAGAAAUCCACUUUGAAUUCAUCAUCCAUUGUGUAUUGCACCACAGAGGUCUUGCCUUAUAACGUGUGUUUCUUGUCACAGGACCUUGAAACUUGUGAGGGGGCUGGCUCCUCACGUUUUGAAGAUGGAUAACACUUUGACCUCAGCUACAAGACUGAGCCAUUGAGCACCAGAAUAGUCUGAACUUACGCAUGCCAACGGGGAAGGAUCUUCAGCGGCAUUGAAUGGAUGACAGGCGGUGUGAAGCAGCGUGAUAACGGGACGCGGGAAGAGAUGCAGCGAAAACGCUUAAAAUUGCCUAGAAUUUCCAGAUAAGUUAGUUCUCAAAGCUGGGAGAUCCAAAGUCCAGACCCUAGUUGUUUGAAACUUCCCAUAUGAUUCCCUGCAGAGCAGUCUCCUCUCAUGGCCAUUAUAAGCAUCCUUACAGUACCUUCCUUCCUCUUGACACGCCCUAGUUAAUUGCUGACCAUUUCCUAACACAGUGUGAUGCCAGAGUCUUCCCAUUCAAAUUGAGAUUAAUAGCAACUCAUGCUUUGGAAGACUUUUUUCUCCACGGCAUGGGGUACGAUUUGAUCAGAAGGAAUGCAGCAUUUUCGUGGAGACUUUUCCGUCCAUCACCAGUGGCCACCUCACGCCAGAUUUUAACCAUGCGUAUAGUAUAGUCACAGAAAGUUAGAUUUGCAUCUACUUGUCGUAUAACUUGGACUCUAGAUUCUGGCAUUGAGCAAUCGAAACAUCGGUUGGUGUAAACCAUGCAACACGGCAAUCUGGAAUAGGGAGAAACUUGGACUGAACUGGCGAGUCCAUUACUAGUGGAAGAUUGAGGCUCUGGAUGAAGUUCAGAGACAGGGAAGUUCAGAGACAGUGAAGUUCCCACGCUUUUGUUCUUCGCAGAACCAAAAAAAAGAAGCUUGAUUGGAGGCUGUGAAAAAGCUCGAUAACUCUUCUCAACACACAAAAAGUUCAGCAGUGCAGAGGUUUGUCAGGUUUUAUGUUCGAAAGUAUAUGUCUGCUGUUGCUUGGAGAUUUUCUUUCUCUUUUCUUUACUUUUUUCUAUCAAUCGUGCAGGAUAAGCUGGAACGUCGUCUCUAGGGAAACGGUCUGUCAAAUCACGAUUCAACCCUGUUCGAUCACACCUUCAGUUUGAAGUCUUUUACGCAAUUUCCUACUAUUUCCCCUGAAAACCCACACUAUUCUCAACUCAUUCAUUUGAAACUAAGGGCACUUGCGCAGUGCAACCAGAAUGAAAUGUUUCAAGAAAUAAUUGAAAAAACUACAGGUCCUGAUCAAGUCAUUUCAGGUGGGUUUAUUUUAAGCUUCACAUGAAAACAUGUGGAUAUUUUUGCCAUGGAAUUGAGUCUGUUUAUUACAUUUAUGAUGGGAUAACAUCACCGACUUCAUUGUUCGUGUUAAUUCUUUGAACUAUCACUUUUGCGCCUUAAAAGUAACCACUCAAAUAUUAAAGCGGAUUGCAUGGAAUUAUUCAUAAAGUUUGAGUGUCAUUCAAAUUAAUGCAUCCCACGCCUCCACAUCUAUAUAUAUAUAUAUAUAUAUAUAUAUAUAUGUGGAAUUUCAGUUACCGCUCAAAUCCAAUAUUUUGUUUCAGUACUUCAUUACAAGUUUCAACAAAAGCGAGAACUUGAAUAUAUUUGAGCUUUCAAAUCAUUACUUUUUAGACUCUCAAAGUUCCAUGUUCUAAUGAAAAUUGAUAAAGAUUUAACUUAGAAUGGUAACCAGCUGCAAGCAAUGUGCAUUGUAACACUGUCAAAUGAUUUGCAUGAAUUGAAUGUAGAGUUUUGAAAACUUGCACAUUAAUUCUAAGCUUCUUGAAAUAUGGGCUCUAGAAGAAGAAACUAUUAAAAAAAAUAAACAAAAAUAUCCACAGAAAAAACAAUACUAAUUGAUCAAAAUAGUAAAUCAAAACAGCUGAGAGAAUGAACAGUAUACCACCAUGAAACCUCUCCACUUCAUGGCCUAUCUUAAUUUUUUUUUCUUCAUAUGCACAUACAUAUUUGACAGAACAAGUGAGAAAUCAUGUUUCCUGAUUUAUUUAUUGUCAUUCAAAAAGGUGUUCCAUGCAUGGUGUUCAAUGACACUAAAAAGAAUACAAAUUUUGUCAUCUUUACACUGAUCCAAAGAACAACCCAUGCUUGGGAUUUUAUGUUCUAAAGAUUCAGAACUAUUGACUUAGAGCAACUUGGCUCAAGUCCUUAGAGACACAUUUAAGACUCUAAAACACAAACUUCAAUGUUCCAAUCACAGUUCUUGCUUGGACCCAAAGUCAAGUGACCACAAUUCCAAAACCCACUUCACAAAAAAGAAAAAAGUGCAAAAAAGUGCAAAAAAGCUUCAUGCACUUCGUGGAAAGCAUAAGUCACUAAUUCCACUGUGAGUAACAAGUCUCUAAAUUCUGAAAAUUACUGGCUACCACCUUCUAAAAAAUUAAAGAACAUAAUGUAUUUUCUCUUCAAAGAGAUUAGCAAUAUUCACUUGGAUUUUACAGAAUUUUUGUGUAUAUCUAAAUUUAUUUCAAAGAUAUAAAUGUUACUGUAGAAUAUUGUUGAAUUAUAAAUUAAGGUCACAAUAACUAAAUUUGCUUAUUAAUAUAUGAAUGUAAGGAAUUUUUGGCUGAGGCGUCAAAUUGAAUCCUCAGAGGUUUACUUGUAACACCAUGUUUUUAUAAUUUUAUAACCUGUAGAUAUGUUUCACAUGUUCUGCCAUACUUAACAUUUUGUGUUGUAUUUUUGGUUUUUUUUAGUGUGUUAUUGUUCAUUCUUUGGUUAUUCAUUAAGUAAAAAUGAAUCACCAAAAUCAAUCCUAUCUUUUUUCCCUACAAACUUGGUUUAUGGCAUUCACUGUGUACAUAUUUUCUAAUCAGUUUUUUUUUAUAAUAUUGAAUAACUUACUAUAUUCGUACUGCAUGUCAGGCAAUUUUUGUUUAUGUUGCAAGUUCAAAUCUAUACUGGAAACGAUUAUUUGCUUAAUUUUAUUCUAUGUCCAUAUAUAUAUAUAUAUAUAUAUAUAUACAUACGCACACACACACUCAAAUGUAUUGUUGUAAAUACAAUCAAUUUUAUGUUUAAAUGCUCAAUUAUUAAAACUAAUAUGUAUUUGAAUUUGUAGUUGAAUAACUUACUGUAAUUGAAUUUAUGAUUUGAAACAAACGAAAAAGUACUCUGCAAUACCGUUUUUAAAUGUUGCUAACCACUGAUUGUUUCUCGAAAAUUUCUAUGUGAAUUUGUUUGACUAAAGACUAAAUUGCAGAACAUGAUUCCUGACAAAGAUGCUAAGCAUAUUGAAAUUUUAUCAAAGAAAUAUAUACUACUUUGACAAGUGGGAAUAGGCAAUAAACAACAUCAAUCCAACAACAAUCACUGAACUUGGAACAUUCAUUUUCAUUUACUGUGAACUGCAUGUAAAUAACACCACAAAAAAUAGAAAUAGAAGUAAUCAAAAACAUUGUCGAAGCGACUAGAUUUUUACAGUAUUCACAUUAAGUUUCAACCUCCAGAAUCAUCAAACGAAAUACAUCAAGUAAUAAUACACUCUUGAAGUUGCAAUGAAGCUGGGUUAUACAGGAACACAAAACAUAAAGUUAGUGAAACAUCAGAAUGAGAGUUUACUCAUACAGUCAAAUGAGAAUCACCAUACAAACCAUCCAACAAGGUCAGUAGUCACUGCGCCGGGGCUGAUCCGGCGCCACGCCUCACUGAGUGAAUGAGCGAGCGAGAUAAAGAGAGAAAGAGAGGAAGAGGCGACACGAGUUGGCAUUGCAUUGCAUGGCACCGCAGAGGAUGGUUUCAUGCAACAUCAACACUCACACACUCGCACAACCCACUCGCACGAGACACGAUGAAAGGGGAGCGAAUCAAGCAAGCGGGUGCCCCGAGUGGUGGUGCACUUCACCGCACUUCACAGCCCGCUCGGCAGUUGGAGCGGCAGUCCACCCUCUAGCGACUUCAAAGCAGCAGAACCUUCCUCCAACUGCCGAGCAGCGAGAGAGAGAGAGGAGUCAACCCGACUCUUCCUCCUCCUCCUGUGGUCCUGCGAGUUAACGCCCCACCUCCUCUUCUUCUGCUGCAGUCAGUCAGUCAGUCAGUCGGCAGUCCUGGACACUUACACACACAUACACACACCUACCUGGCCACCACACAGUUUCUCUUUACACUUCAACGUAAUUGUCGUCGUCGUCGUCGAUUCAGUUCCAGUUCCAGUUCGAAUCUUGUUCCAGUUUUGCGUUAUUUACGAGUGGGCUGCGAAGACUCAGCAGCAACUCUGUGUGUCGUGGUACCCAGAGUGUGAGCUGCUGCAGUAGAUGAAGCGUACAAGAUGGCUGGAUUCUUCUUCGCAGCUAGUCAGGUGAUGGGCGGUGGCUGGUCUGGGGGAGGACGAUGGGAUUGUUAAUAAGAAGGAGAAGUAGAAGAAGGUGACGAAGAAGAAGAGUGUUCGGUGCAGAUCAGAACCAAAAGUUUUGGUUUUUAGGGUUUGCUAAUUCUUCACUCUUGGCAAUGCAGCGGAACAUAUCAGAGUUACCCACUUGAAGUUUCAUCCAUUCCUACAGUUUGUAUGUGUAUGUUUGUUGUGUCCCACACCUAAAUCCAUUUCCCCCCAUUUUUAAAAUUUCUUGUAUUUUUCUUUUACUUCUGGGUGUUUAUUUUUUCCUUGGUCCCCUUGUACCGCGUUGGUCUGAGAUUUGGGUUGAUCGGGGAUGAUGUGACCCUGUUGUUCCUCCAGCUCACAGCUUGAAAGGUUAACUCCACCCUCUUUUUCUUCUAUAAAUAAAAUAAAAUAAAAUAAGCAAAACAUCUGUGCAUGUGUGUGUGUGUGUGUGUAUACAUGAAACCAAUUGGAAACUCAAGUGAAUGGAAAUUGGAACACCACCUCCCAUCAUAUUUUACUUUAGAAUGGAUGGCAUUAAUAGUUCUGUAUAUGGAUUAAUCCUUCUCCUUUGGAGUGGGGUUAAUAUUUUGAAUGGUUGUUCUCUUUAAUGAACUUUCAAAAGCUCCACAAUCAGUUGUUGUGGUCCAACACAAAAGAUUACUGUUGUCAUUUACUGCUGUGCUGAUUUCCAACUUUAUUUUUUCAAAAAUCAUAUAAUUUCAAACAAUACAAUUAAAAGGAUUGAAACUUUACCUUACAACAUCAUACGUUGAUUAAGUUUUGGUACACAAUCAACACAUGACCCCCUUCAAGGAUUCUAGCCUAUAAUUGGAGAAAAAAUUAAAAUUCCAUCCAUGUCGUAGCAUAAUUAUUGCCAAAGAAUCUCAAGAUUUCCUAUGGGGAUUUCUCCUCCAGUUAUUAACCCCCUCCCAUUAGCAAAGAAAACGAUCCUUAUGUCCUUUGAUACCUAGGGUUAAUUCCAUCCAUGGUACCACACAAAAUCGUCCUUCACCUCCCCCUUCCCGCCAUGGCUCCAAAGGAAAGUCCACACAUCCUCCAAGUCCCUCUCUUUGAUGUCAACAAAGCACUUGACACAAGCACAAGGACUACUUGUUUGAAAAAAUCAAAAUCAAAAUCAAACUAACUAAAUAAAUAAACCAACUUGAAUUUGGUUUGAUGUGUCCCUCUUUACAGCCCAUUCUUGGCUUGUGUCUUAUUAAGGGAUGAAUGGAUAUAUAUAUAUAUAUAUAUAAAGUACACGGCUUCUGUUGCUGGCCUUGAGAAUUUUGUUCUGCUCUGGUACCAUACAAAUGAAUGAAAACUAGUGUCUUAUGUGAAGCCUGAGCGUGGAAUGUUUUGUCCACCCUCUUCAAUAGAAUGAUUCAGUUAAGAAGUCAUCUUUUUUGACUAUGUUGGUUCACAAACUGUGACAAAAAGUAGACUUCAAAACUUUAUAAGGUUUAUGAAAUGUGUCUUUUACGGUUUCUUUUGGAGAUUUUCAGUAAUUUCCAAAAGACCACAGGUACACAAAUUACAUUAUUUAUCCUUUUCUUCAUAUUUCCUUAAGAAAUGACAAAGUUAAUAUUCCAACUUUUGAUUCACAUUCAUGGGAGCAUUGUACCCAUGUGUAAAAACACAUAUAUUCACACACACACACGUCUUUGACCUUUAGCUUUGGCAUCCCCAAAUGCACUUACAUCCAACCUAGCCAACUACCAUUCAAAGCAAAGGAAAAAAAAUACAUUUAUACGUCUAUAUAUAUAUAUAUAUAUAUCCUAGAAACAUUCAAGUAGUUGCCACUUGAGCAGUCAAAGCAUUGAAAGAACAAGGGCAUCUAAUUUAUGAAGAAGUGAAUGCCGAAGCACAUGGUUCUUGAACAAAAUUCCAUAUCUGAGAUGAAUGGGGAGCAUUUGCAUACUCUGCUUUCUCUGCAAAAUCUACUGUGCACCACUGGAAACUGAAACUUCCAAGUUUUUUGUACAUUUUUGUAAUGUUUAAAACAAUCUUGCAUUCUUGAGCUCAUGUCGAUUUACUCAUCGACAUGCUCAAGAAUGAAGAAAGCUGCGUGGAACUGCAGAUUUAGUUUGUGCGGAUGACAUCAAUGAACGAGGCAAGCGGCACGUAGAUACAUGGCUUUUAAUGUGGAGUUCAAAUCUAGUCAACGAUGCCGAUCAGCUCCGGUCCAACGUCGUUUUUGAGCGAGUGGCUUAUCGCCGAAUAAGGUCACGUCUACAAGAGGAAGGAGUUACGAGGCGCAGAUGAUCCACUUCGCUGCCCCAACAAAUAUUGGCAUGCUGCCGCUACGCAGCCGGGAGGAUACAGCACACAAUCCUGUCCUCAUUGUAUUUUUUCAACCGUAUGUCAGUAUCUCGUCAACAAAAGUCCUCCCAUUUUCAAAUCCCAGAUGCGCUUUUCUACUCCCUGCAGAUUCACCUGGUACCCACCUCGUACUUCCCCACACACGCCUGUUGAAAUGAAGUCUAACCACCUCCUCCCCUGCUGCUCCACUCCCCUAAGUUCGCAGCCACGGAAGCUAGCUUCAUAAGUUACAGCGGUUUCUGCGUUCCGAAAUCGGUAACUGGAAGCUCUGAGUUCCAGAGAACUGUAUUGAUCAACGAUGUGAGUGACAGCAAGGGAAAGCUGGAGCUGGAAUGGCGCAAUCGAUCACACGACAUUGGAAUUGCUCUAAGGUGCGGAGAGAGAGUGAGAGAUUGAAUUGACGUUGAACGCUGCAGUUGUAACAUAGGCGGAAAUUAAGAAGACUGGAAGGCUGAGUUGGACCAGGCGUAUGUCCGAAGGGGGUCCACGUCCAGUCUGUAAUGACUUGAGCCUGCAGAACUCAGUGUUCAGAAUCGGAAUAUGUGUUCGUUGCGGAUUGUGUGAGGGGUAAGAGUGCUUGUUGAGAUCGACCAAUGCAUGUUGAUGGUAUAGCGGUUACGAGGGGUGUGAAUAGAGAGAGUUUUGGGCGAACACCUCCUAGUGAUACUAAACCUUUUUGACGUGGUUUGCGAUGAGUUGGGUUCGUAAUCAUCGCAUAAAUUCUUUGUCCCACCACCGAAAUUAUUCAUUGCUGGAGUUCUGGAAUCACGGGUGAGAUUGAGUUCCAGUGAGUAAUUGCUGCGCAAGCAUUGUUCAUCUUGUGAUUGCGACUCUACAAGUCCAGUGGCUUCUGAUACCCAAAGCUCAGUGUAGUUUAUUUUGCAUGAGCGGUAAAAUGGACUGAGUAACCCAGAUUAGGCGAAGAGAAAUGAAGGGGCAGCAUUCUUCGGUAAAGGAGUGUGUAGCGGGCGUUUAGUAGAAUCCGGUGACAAGGGUACUGCAGUAGUAGCUUCAGUGAUGAGGGCGACUUAUGGUUGCAACUGUUGGACCUCUUCAUCAGGCUCACCUCAGCAUUUGAGGUCUCCGCGACGGUCUAGGGAAGUUCCUAGGGGUUAAUUGGCACAGGUGUAUCGCAUUAUCUGAAUCUUCUGGUAUCGCAUCACGUUCUUCAGUCUCCCUGCUUCAGCUAUCGAAACGCUAGGCAGUGUCUUCGGUAGUUCGGUGUCAGCGAUUUGGAGUUAGCAACAGCGUCGUUAUAACUGUGCAGGGCUUUCGGCAGGUUCAUGCACAAUUCUCCAAAUAAGCCUGGUCUGAGCCUGUCCGAAUCUCACUCCAGGUCUACAAUCUAAAUUUGGGUGUAGCAGCCAUAGACCAUUUUCGGUAGUUUCCAGCAACUGUUCCAAAUCCGCCAAGGUUGUGAUCGUUGAGCUCGUGCCUCGUUGUAGGCCAUUUUACCGGGACCUUGCGCUCUCACCAGACACCACGGGCUAGUCUAUUUCGAGAGCCUGCACAUUGAUGACAUUGUUCUAAAAUUUGUGAUGUUUUGGUGAAUCGGACUAUUCUAACAGUCGGACGCGCCCACCAAACUCUCUCAGGAGCCUUCAAGCCGGCGUCUGGGUUGGUGAGAUCCCAGUCUACUGCAAUCUAGGCUCUUCGACACCAAAACAUUUGUUGAUAGUUUUGUGAACGGUGCGAAGGGGUUGCUACUGGCUUCUGCUCUGGGAAAUUGCAAUGCUGGGGCUCAGCGCCUGCAACCUCUACGUUUGAACGGUUGGAGGCAAUGGCUAACAGUGCAUUUCACGUCUUCCACAUGAGCGAAGUUCUGUCAGGAGAGAAACACCCCCGUCAGCGAAGACACUUAGACAGAGGUACUUAGCUGCUAUGACUUUUUGAACAUCAAUUGUUGCCUAAAUGCCACAAAGUGAGUCGAACUUCAAAACACAAAAUCAUUGAUGAAGUCAAAGAGUGGAUUUCAGCCAAUGCCCCUCAUUACUAAGUUCGUCCACACUCAAACAGGUUUCGAGGCGCCAAGGAAUAGCUUGGACGUGCUGGAUGCAGCCAUUGAUGUGUCGAGGAGCGGAUCUUUCAAGCCUGAAGACAUUCCCGUGAGUAUUGUUGACUGCUCUGGAUUUGAAAACGUACGCAAUGUCAAGGAGCUGAUUAGAACUGCAAGGAUGUGUUAGUAUUCUUGCACCGUUAAUCUGUGAGAUGGUAUUUGCUGCAGUUCGGCUAUGAAAUCCUUAAUCCAGCUCUUGCUGCAAGUGGCCCUCAAUCAAAGUGGGAUGGCACGUCAAACGACGUAGGAAAUGACUUUUCAGGGCGUAAAGAGACUAGAAGGCAGGGUCCUAACAUCGUGGCUCGGCUCAUGGGCUUGGAAACGUUACCGGACGAGCUCCCAACUGUGCAGCCUCGGAAUUCUUUGCAAGGAAUGCCAAUAUACGGAUGUUCCAAGCCGCCUGUGGGAAAUCCUUCCAUGAGCAGGCAAAGUUCGCAAGAUGCAGCACUUUCCUCAUGGCAGCGGCCUCCUCGGCCUCGACAUGUGCAACGCGCACCUCUAAAUGUGGAAGAAGACAGGGUGCUUGCUCCUGUACUUCCUUUCCGCGAUCAUCCGCAAGAAGAACUGCUGCAGAAGUUUAAAAAAGACUUCGAGGCGAAGCAGCAAGCAGUAUUAGCAAAGGAGCGAGAUCGGUGUGGCACCUCGCAGGUUCUGGAAGAAAUGAAUCGGGAGCUUGACGAGAAGAAGCAGAGGGUGCGCGCCACUCUCGAUAAGGCUAGGACUGCGUUGUCGCAAGGCGUCUUAGCUGAACUAAAGCGACAACUCAAUGGACAGGAAAACUUUGAUGAAUCCAAGGAGUUUCUCGAAGCGAUGGAAUUUUUGCAGUGCAAUGAGGAUCUCAUAUUUCACUUUCUCCAGCACAAGCCCCACUCCACACUCAGCGAUGAAAACUCCAAUGAUACGACGCCCGUGGCGAAUCUAAAAUCGAUGAAGAAAAGGAUACUCGGAGGCUUAGUCCCAGCUAGUUCUCGAGAGUCUAAGGAGCGGAAGCGGGAAGGUUUUAGUCCUCGUGCAUUUGCCCGUCUAUUUAGGGACCCUCGCAAACGGAGUGACAACAAGCAACAACCAUGUACACCUCCCUUAUCCGGCACGACAACACCAUCUUCUGCGAGCCUUCAGCCUGCGAUUGAAAGAUGCAACAGUGCUGGUUUUUACAGGAGGCCAUCUGCAGAAUUUACAAGAGACUCAGCACCGGAUGAAGCGCACCUAAGGACUUUGAACUUCUCAAAUUUGAGAGCUCAAUCCUGCCCUGCGUCUCCGAGGAUGCACGGUAAGCCCUUGUCUGGAGGGUGUGAGGUCAGAAGUUCUCUCAAGAAGAAUGGUGCUCGGGCUGUUGCUGCGGAAAUGAAGGAGAGGUUACGGCAAACUGUACAUCGCGAUGAAACAGAAGAGGUCGGGUAUGUCAAGAAUUUGAGCCCGGAGCGUCCGCAAGGCUGGUUUGGAGAUUCAGAGGACAUUACACAAGAGAUUGCUAAAAGCACUCGUGAUCAAGACUCUCGAAAAAAUAACUUCAUUCUGACGAAAACUUUUCCCACUGGCAAGCGUGUUGCAAUUCAGAGAGUGGAUAUGGAGGAUGCAACCUGCACGAGCGGUGGUGAGGAGCUGUCACUGCCGUCGGCCAAGAUGGACAAACAAAAUGUAACCAGGUCUGGCAUAAGUCUUCCCUGCUCGCCUCACCUUGGAGAACGAACCCUUGACAACGUUCCAGUCAGUUCUAUGAGGACUCGACCAAAGCGUGCUUCUGAACAGAAACCCACGAUUCCUAGAACAACCGAGCAAGCCGACUCCCCGGCGACACUCAUAGCGGUGGCAAAGAAAACAAUCGCGUCAACCGAGUCCCCCCGCCGAAUCAACGAUUCUCCAAGAAGCUCGAAAAGCGAGUUUACCGAGAAGAGCAUGCGCAGAUCCGCUUCUGUAAACGAAAACGCCAUCAGAAGCUACCACUUGCAGCAGAAAGGCGACGCCUGCCCCGUACCCACCAGUAAGGGUAAUUGUCAUGAUCAUUCUGAAAAUGAUCCUGCGUUGAAUUUCACUCGGAGUCGCUCAGUUCCAAACGUAGCUAUAUUGCGGGACCGAGGACAAUGCACUAAUGAAGCAAAGAAAGGCACUGCGAAGACCACAAGCGAGGUGUCCAAGCAUGGUAAGGGUCAGAACUCUGAGAAGAGAAAAGGAUUCUUCUCUGUGGGCAGAAAAAAGGGCCGUGCUCCCGUAGAAUCCAUUUCUUCUGGCCAUUCCUUGUUUUUCCCAAGCUCAGGUCCGGUAUUUGCACGCGUCGCAGCUCUUGCGGAGUCAUGUGUCUCGCAGGGCAACACCUUAAGUGACGCCGACAGCGCUGUGAACGUCACGGUUCACGUCAGAUCACGCAGAAGCACAGACCGAUCAAAGAAAGGAAGGGAAUGGCCUAAGGAAGCCAACGCAUCUUCCGAGCUAAAGAACUUUGUUGAGUGUUUUGAACCUUGGUUUGCACAUGAGAGCGAUGUUAUUUCGGAAAGCAGUGCGGAUUCCGACGCCAACCCUAAUGACGAGGAAUUCUUAGAUGCUCUAUCGCAGCUCACUCCGCUCAUCGAUCAGAAGUCUACCGCCAUCGAGAAGCAAAUUACGGGGGAACUUCUGGGCACCGUUUCUACAAUCACCUCGCAGGCACAUGAAGUGAGAAAUCUUGCUUUGCGGAUCAAAAAAGUGCUUUGUAAAAGUUUGUUACAGUCAUUUAAAACAGAUGCAAAACUGGUUGUUAAAAGGAUGGUAUGAUGCACAUUUCAGGUCCAGGGCGAUCGUAGGACUUCUGAGCAUUUGCCACCGCCAUGGAGGACGGCAGAAGGGAUCAUUCAUGAACUCACUUCCGACGAGGGCCAGGAUUCUAACAGCGACAAGAAUGGACACCCUAGUCCUGUCUCGGUUUUAGACCCGCCAUUCGACGAGGAAUCCCCGAGUUCCCUGGAGUUCGAUGGUAUCAAUAACGGUCUUCAAGGUUGGUGUCCAUGGCUAAAUUGCUGUUUCCAACUCCCUCUACUCGCAUUUUUCAAGAAGCUUGAAACGGAAAAUCUCUAUCCUAAAUAGCUUCACAUUAUGGCCCACGCAGAUCUGCAAGUUCGGGUACAACUUCUGAAAGCUGAAGGAAGGGAGAGACGACGCGAUGACCCCAUAAUUCAAGCUCCAGCACCUCCUUGCGAAAGCAGGGCCCUGAUAAGUUCACUGCAGAACACGAAGAUCGUUCCGAAGAAGAUUCCUUUCCUAACCCCCAAAUGCGAACGCAAUACAUUCGACAGCCCACAAGUUCUUUUAUCAGAUGUUCGCCCUAAUCCCGCCGGUCGGGAGGAAGAUUUCAGAUUUGCGAACGACCUUCUUGUUGCCUCGGGCUUCGCUACGCAUGAGGAGCGUAACAUCGGCCGGUGGCAUUCUGCAACUCAGCCGAUUAGCCACCAUUUCUUGCGCAAAGUCGACGCAUCCUACAAGGAAAAGGACGCGCAUGGGAGCACCUCGAGUCGGCGAUUUCUCUUCGACGCCAUCAACGAGAUCCUGGUUAGCAAACUUGGACCCAAAUGCUACGCACCUUGGCUGCAAAUGCCCGGAUAUAAUCCAACGGCUUUGAGAACUGGCAGGAGGCUGGUGGAGGAUGUCUGCAACGAGAUUCACAAGCGCCAAUUCCCUGUGCGCUGCGAGGACUCCCACAACGACUACCUGGAGAGUCUGGUGGCAGACGACUUGAAAAAUUCGACGUCAUGGAUGGGUCUCCACCACGACAUGGACCGCAUCUGCCACCAGCUUGAGAAGGCCAUCUUCACAGACCUGAUCCAGGAGAUAUGCGGCGACUUGAGGAACCUUCAUGUACAAUAAAAAAAACAACACUUACAACACAACAUAGAGAAGAAUGCGAAAGAUUUCUGCACAACUGGUUAUCGUGAAUGGGGCUUGGACCGCUCUUCAACGUCACAAAUCGCAGAGUGUAUAGAUUUGUAUCAUAUAGCAUCGCGACUCAAAAUUUGUCGAGGCCGAUCCACUUUGAACUGGGUUUUUUCCUCAUGUCGAAGUCUUCCAGCAAGCAAACGAUGUCUGUGGAUAGGUCGGUAUGGAUGUAUUAGAGAAUGUGAAUCUGAAUGGAUGAAUCAGUCUUCAUGACAAAGCCCCAUGCACAACAUCGAUCGAUACAGAUAAGCUUCAGCUUCGCAACGCUAUUAUUUCGUCGCCAGAAUGUGUGCCGUCCGUCUGCGAGCAUAAAAAAAAGCCCCACCUGACGCUUUAAAGUAUGCGAUGUCUUCACUCUCGUCCCACCAAUUUCAAUAGAGCCUGUCAUUUUUAACUUCAACUUUUAGUUAAUUGGCAUCCAACCAAUCCGAAUGUGUUUAUAUAUAUAUAUAUAUAUAUAUAUCUUCUACUUCACUACAAUUGAUUUUGUGUUUCUUAGGGGAUUUUUAUUUUAUUUCAGUUAAUUUUGUGUUAAACUGUGUAGUUUGAAAGGUUCAUGAUCGUAAAAUAAUGCGGAUUCUGAAUGAGGUUAUUCUGAAAUUGGUUUUAUUUAUUAAAAAAACUCUAAAUGGUUCUUCACAAAAUCAUCAUGUUGAUUUUAUUAUGUUUUCUGAAAUUUAAAUAAAAUUAUGAUUAUUUACUAGAAUUUGAAACUAAUUUGUAUAGUAAUAUAAAAAAAAUGCAAUUGUGAACUUGUAAAUUUUCUGCUCACAUAGGCAUGUUUUUAACUAAAUAUAUAGAAAAUAAAAGGUAAAAUACACAUGAGGUACAUUCAUCUAAACAUCACUAAUCUUCUAAGAAAUGUACAUUAAAAUGUUUUAGUGUAUCUGUGAGUCAAUAGAAUUUAUCAGAGUUUAUAAAUCUCUAUGUAAUCAGAAAAAACAAAAGUCAUCUUAAUAAUUCAAAAUCCAAGUUAUUUUUUUAUCUUAAUUUUUUUUGUUUGCCUUAUGCCAAAUAAGAAAUUCUUCUCAGUUACAAAAUUACAAAUCCUAUAUAUUAAGCAAAGAGAAUGACAUUCAAGAGAGAUGGUAUCUUGUGAUCAGCAACUCCUGGAUCAACAUAACUGCUAACGUAAUUUUAAAAUAUGUUAAAUAAAGAAGAUCAAAAUUAAACAUCAUAAAAUACAAAAUGUAGCAGGGCUCGCAUGUGGUAAAUCCUUUCCCUAUUUCCGGUCGCUUCUGUAACAGAGGGCCUCUUCGCCCUCUAUUCCAUGGCGUAGCCGCCACUGCUGGGGUCCAUUAGGGUUAGGGCUGGGGUUAGGUUGGAAUUCCGUCUCUUUUUUCCUUCAUAAAGGAAUAUCAGAUUCCUGAAACCCCUACCUCGUCUCACUCACUUGUUCAGUGUCGUCUGCUCGAUGCCACAUCUUGUGCAGUCUUGUCUUGCAUGUUCCACAGGCAUGUCAAAAAUGAAAGCAGACUGCAGCUGAAGCAGUGGUGUGCGUAAGGGUUCGCGGGUGUCAGUUUUGCCGUCGGGAGUUGGGGAUAUGCGAGUUGAGCGACCUGGUCCUGUCUUCGUCUCUUGAUAUCUCCCUGGCUCUUCCGCUGAAUUAAUUUGUAUUCUGAAUGAGCCAGCGGUGUGGAGUUCACGUGAUGACGACAACACUGCAACAAAAUGAAGCAAGCUUUUGAUUACCGAUAUUUAAGUCGCUGAUGAAGCUCUCCACCGCCGUCUUUUGUGCCUCCGCGUAGAAUGUCUCCUGCAUGGAUGUGUAUUAAGAGAUGUUUGACGCGGUCACUGCCUUCCAGAACAGUUUCUGAAAUCCUUCUCUGGUCGUUAGAAUCUCUUUCAUGGAACCUACAAUUUGACUUCUCAGCUGAUCGAGUGUUGUGUAAGAUGAAAUUGGUUCCAAGAAAUACAGGACCCUUCACUUUACCACAGAGCGCUACUCCGCCUUUUGGUCAUUUUUGGGGUCCAACAUGUGACCUUACCUGGUUACCACUAGGCAUUGUUGUGCUAAAAUCCAGUAUAUAUGAUAUGACUGAACUCGUGAUUAUUGCAAGCAGUUGGCGUUCCUUGUGAUAACAAUAUUGUGCUACUCAUGAUAAAUCGUGAUUAAGACAAUGUUCGAAUGAGGGAAAUGACUGAUCUAUUCAUACAAAGCCCGGAAGUGGUUGAAGCGAUAAUAAACACGCUUAAACUCUUCAUGAAUUAACUAUCAACCAAUCCGGUCCGGGAUCCCUUACCCAAAUUGAAUGUUAAAACGAUAAUAUACACAAGUCUUACCUCUGAAGCGCAUUCUUCCCGUGAGAUCCCAAACCGGGGCAUUCAGUGUCCUCAUAGUCUUGUCCAAUUUUAUAGAAAUUAAAAAGUUUGAGAGUCACCUGAAGUUCUCGUACUGAAAGAUCGCUAGCCGUCUCAGGCACAGGAUCUAAGUUCCAAGUCGAACGAGUGGGUUCAAGUCGCAUAUCCGUCAUCGGAAGCUUUUUGCUGUAACUAUGAAUUACUCUAGGCUUGCGUUAAGAUAUUGCAUUAUCGUCAAAAUUGACAUUAUACAACUUUGAAUCCUGACUUCGUCUCCUCACGAAAUCCUUUUUCAUCGCAAUAGGUCCGAACAUGGGAAGAAUACUGGCAGCAUGACCACCGAUACAGAACACAGCCUCUUGAAACGAAACACGUACUCAGGACGAGAAGGAAAUAACCGAAACUCAACUUUCACUAGAAAUAUAUCUGCUGCCAAUCCCAGGAAGCUACUUUCGAAGGUUUUCACAAACCAGCUUUUUACAGGAAAGUACAGUGAAAAGAACCAUUUCUGUCGGUUUUCCCACAGCAACACAUUUACUGCUUCAACAACACAUCCAUGUAAAGACUAAAAGUGAUAUACGGACAAACCUGUUCACAUUAUCUGGGCAUUCGGUGUCCACACGUUCCUUACCGUGGCAGUUCCGUAAUCGACAGAAUUUAAGAUUCAACUGGUUUUAAACUUUUCUCUCCUGAUUGCUGACGGGCCAUGGAAUCCACGGUGAGGCGGGGAGUUUACUGCCAGUCACUUGCAACUUGAUGAAAAGAAGAUGCUGAGGAUGGAUGGGUACCGCAAAAUGGAUGCCGCGGAGAAGCUCGCUGCCCACGGGGAGCAGCAGGCAGUAAAUGAGCGCAUGUGGGGGGGGCGUUUAUCUGCUGGGAAGAUGUGGAUCACUGGACUGUGGGUCCUGCUGCAGCUCUUCGAUUUAGCCAGCGAAGAAAUCGAUCGAGUUGAAUGCGAAUCGAAGGUGGCGCUGCCACAUGCUAUAUGUGGAUCGACCUAAUAUCGAUCUGUCAUCGGGCCUUGUACAUGCGGUGACGCUUUGUCUUCUCGAUCUGGCUUCCCUCAUGAGUGGUCACUGUCAGGUUGCAAGUAUGAAGUGCCCUUGGUGAUGUUCUUGAAAGGCUUUAACGCGGUUGCCAUUUGGAGAAGGGGGGGGGGGGUGGGGGUUUUGGUCGCGCGUCGUGCUAGAGCAGAGUCCAGAUUGGUAUCUUCAGUUGUAUCAAAUUGGUAGUCGAGUUAGGCCGGAUGGUUACGAUAGUGCGUGUACCGCUGGCAUUCAGUGUGUUCCGGUCCAGCGUUGCGCGGGCUUGCAGUUGUCGAAUCUACGGAGCGUAUGGUGCUUGAUGCUAUUGGAGCGUCGCGAGUUUAGGUGUAUUGUGUGGCAUCGAGUUUGUGUUGGAUGGUGUUGCUUGUUCUGGCGAGAGUACGUCGCAUUGGCUGCGGUUCAGAUUGAUUGAUGUUUCAGGGUAGUGCUCUCAGGGAUUGAAUGUGGAGGACGGAGUACCCAGCCAAGCAUAAUGCAGGUCAGCGUGUGAGGUCAUGCUUCUCACUUUCUGGGGGCGGUUGCGAAUGAGCUUUAUCUUUUGAUCAUAGAGGGAUUUGCGACAUAGGUAUCCUUCAAUGAGGAAGCGCAGGCAAUACGUGAAGACCACCAAGUGCUAUCACAGGUUGCCAACCAUCGAAGAGACGGAAGAGCUCGGCGUCAGCUGGAAGUCGAACGUCGUAUCGUCGGCGCAGCCGCGAUCAUGGUGCCACAACGUAGUGUCGAGCUCCCCGGAAGUCGAUCUCGAGGACUGCACCAGAUGGGGCUUCGAUUCUUUCAAGACCAAGUUCGCAAGUCUAAAGGAGCUGCGGCAGACACUGGAGCCGCACGCUAAGCAGUUCGAAGAGAAGAUCAAGCAGUCGUAUGGUGAAGUGACGGAUUUCGUUAGCGCCAAGUCGAAACAGGUCCGCGCUGUACAAAUUGUUUGGCCCAACCUUCAAUUUCGUAACGUCGUCGAUACUAAGUGACAACUAUGGUGUUGCGACCAUAUCACAUCGGCUCGACGAGAACUAGUUUUUCUUUUUCUUUUUUGCAUCCUGUUCCUUUUUAUCUCUCGUUGUUGGACCAGGUUUCUCAAUUUUGUUCUACGCUGCUCAGGUCACUGAUGCAUUCAUUCAACAUCUGUCGCUCUUGUACUAUUUUCCAAACUCUGAAUACCAAAUCCUCCAUGCUUCAAAAAGUGCCUGUGACACACUCUAGAACUUCCAGUCCUCCAGACAAUGCGUGCUCUAGACACCGCUGUUUAUUGAUUCUCUACUGCAAUGCACAAUGCUAAACACCGAAUUCAACUGAUUCCCUGCGCUUGAUACUUCAAGCUACAAAGUAAGAGUUCAUUCUGAUGACCAGAUGGAAGGGCGUAUAGAGAUUGAGAUGCUUGCAGAGCAUGUAAACAUACCAGAGACAGGUGAGAUAGGUCCAACCAAUACAUGUACUACAUAACAACAGGUUUUUUCUAUUUAAAAUGUCAGGAAAUUAACAAGUUCCUGUGUCUACACACUAAGAAUGUAAAAUUUCAAUUCAAGCAGUUGAAUCAAGGUCAACAAGGCCUUCGGAAGUGCAGUAGUAAACAAAGUUCUGAAAUAGAAAAGUUCUGCUUAGCUUUUCUGCACUUGGCACUCUCACCCCGCCCUUCACCAUCGACGGCUCUGCCCGGGACAUGGCGACCACACACCAUGGCCGCCAUCCUAUCGCCUUCGUCGUCUCUCCGAUUCAUCGCUGCUCCUGUGAGCACACACCAACUGCCUCCCCCUCGACACAUGGCGCCCUUGCACCUCCAUCCAAUCCCUUUGAGCUUCAUCGCCAACUGGAGCUCCUCCACGUCUUUGCAUGGUGCUUGGAUUUUGAUUACACCUGAUACUGCCCACUCGCUGCGUUCAGAUAUAUAGUCAUGGUAGUCGAGAGUUCCCCUCAAUCAAAACAAGCUAAUUGUGCAGGACUUGCCUUGAGCUAUUUGCUUUAGCUUACGAUCUACUUUAGUGUACUUCUACGUUGAUAAUUUUAUCCUCACCCGUGUCGAGAAUGGCGUCUAUGUCCACUGCGAUGGCACUGUCGAGCUCUGUGGCUGCACCUGCAGUCAAGCUCUCCUCCAACGCUGCUUUUGGAUCGUCCGGAGUUCAGCAACUGGCUGCUGUGCGGUCGCCUGUGAAGCCGAACGCAUCCAGAGUUGUGGCUGCCAGGGCAAGCCAGUCCUCUGAGGUAAGGUGGCGCGCAUUGAAUUCAUGCGAUCUAGAGUCUGGAUGGCAUGGAUAUGUUUGUUUUGUGGAUAACUUACGUCAAGUACAGUUUUCUAGUUCUGAUUUUGUGCUAAUCUCGAUUAUUGUUAUUAUGUGCGUAUUGUUAUGUAGUCAUGACCCAUGAUGCAUGGCAAAGCGUGAUGUUUGUGGCAUUUUUGUUCAGGAUGCCUUAAAAUUGCUGUUUCUGUAUUUUGGCAGGAACAAGCCCCUGUGAAGUCUAAGGUUCUUGUGGCGCUUGUGGCCGCCGGAGCGGCAUUCGCAUUGAAUGUUACUCCUGUUGCUCCCGCACAAGCUGGGUUUUUCAGCAAUGACAUCCAGGUCGAGCGGGGCGCCACAUCCCCACAAUUCCCCGGAAACGAAGGCACUGGAACGAAGGUCGGCAACAACACGGGUAGCAGAGGGUCAGCCAGUUCUGGCACGCCCUUCGGUGAAGGCGCCGGUGGCAACUUGGUUGGAGACAACCAAGCCACCAGGCAGCUUUCGUCCACGGGAACACCGUUGGGAGAAGGAAGUGCCAGCGGCUCCGGCGUGAAUGGUGCGGAGGCGUUGAAGGUACCUGAUGUGGGACUGCCUGAUGUGUCCAACCCCUUGAACAAGAUUGGUGAGCUUAAUCCCUUGAAGAAUGGUGCACCCGAUGCAUCGAACAUCGUCGGCGACGCCAAGAAUGCUGCUCAGGACUUGGCGGGGGACGCCAAGAGUAAGAUUGGCAUGGGAGGAAUGGGAGUGCCUG
rnacentral:lncRNA from 1 species